rnacentral:misc_RNA from 1 species
GAAAUGCGAUAAGUAAUGUGAAUUGCAGAAUUCAGUGAAUCAUCGAAUCUUUGAACGCACAUUGCGCCCGCUAGUACUCUAGCGGGCAUGCCUGUUCGAGCGUCAUUUCAACCCUCAAGCCCUGCUUGGUGUUGGGGCCCUACGGCUGCCGUAGGCCCUGAAAGGAAGUGGCGGGCUCGCUACAACUCCGAGCGUAGUAAUUCAUUAUCUCGCUAGGGACGUUGCGGCGCGCUCCUGCCGUUAAAGACCAUCUUUAACUCAAGGUUGACCUCGGAUCAGGUAGGAAUACCCGCUGAACUUAA